AACAACAUAUUAUGAUGGUAAUCAAUAUCUAGAGCAACCUGAUCGGAGGAUUCAUUAUGAGGCACGGCGUAUGAAUUUCGAAUGUCGACGGUACCAUCGGGUAGGACGGAUCCGAGAAGCGUGCCAAUGACACGUUCGGCUUGGUCAGGCCGCCUCACGUAGCAAUCGCAGAUGUUGAAGAUCACCAAAGGGUGCACUUUCGCCGAAAGGCUCGUCGACGAUGGCGUUGGCGUGAAUUGAAGGACAGUGUGCUCGCUCGCCGCCAUUCUCCGA
rnacentral:misc_RNA from 1 species